UUUCCCAAGAGGCAGCAGUUAUUCAUGGAAUAAUAUUUGCUCUGCUAUGUAGGUGAGGCCUAACAGUGGAAAGUCUUUCUACAUUUCGUGACCUCUGGAUAACAAGGAUAUCUGUCACUUCUUUAGCAGCUUUACUACUUCUGAACUUGGUGUGUUGAGAUCAGUUCAUAAUUGGUUGGUGGCCAGACAGCAAAACUGGAAAUGGUAAAGAUGAGUGAUAAGGGUGAUCAAAACUAUGGAACUGCUAAAUAAUAAAGAGAAAAGUGAACAGAUCGACAGAGAGAUAACUGAGAAGGUAGAAAAUGAGUGGUGAGAAAAGACUAUUAUAGCUAUUAUCUCCCUCUGCCAACACAAAAGCAAGAGAACAUUGAACAAAACUAGCAAGUGACUAGAUAAAAGCAAACAAAGGAUGUGAAUUUUCAUACUGUAUUUCAGCUAAGCCAUGGGAGUCUUCACUGCAGAAAUGUAUGAAUUCAACAAGUUUACAUAGUUCAAAAGGUGAAUGGAAAAAUUCAUGAA
rnacentral:lncRNA from 1 species